UUUGGGGAAAUUACAUAAAUCUAUCUUAUUACAGAGAGAGAAAUGAUGCUGCAGAAAUGGACACUCACAUCGUGUUUGUGGGUGAAGAUUUGGGUGGAUCCGCAGAAGCUCUGCUGGUCACCAAAACACAGUAGUCCUAUAGUGAACAUUCACAGCAGCAGAGCAAAAACAAAGACGUAGAAAGUUAUGGGAAUAACAGGGUUAUGUAACUCACAGUAAAAGAGGGGGGCAGGCUGCUGCUCAUACACUAGAACAAGGUUAAAACACUCCCGACCAGCAGCUGAGGGUUGUAAAAGCCAGAGUCAGGGUCAGAGGUGAUGGGCUGCUGUUCUAAAUCCAUAAAGUAACAGUCUCCCUGGUCAUCAUUCACACCAGGAUCUCACAAGACUGGCAGCCAUGAGGGGGAAAUAAAGUGGGGCAGGUAAAAGCUGCAAGGACUUCAGCAACAACACCUUAGUCUGAAGAGAAAGAGGAGGUGUGAUGGGGAGAUGAAAAGCUUAACUUAACAUCUGUGUAAACCUGUUUAUUUAAAGAGAAACACCAUGAUGAAAUCUAUCAAGUUAUUGCAGUAAUUUUAAAAUACUUGAAAAGAGAUUGCAUUAGUAGGGGAUAAUACAUCAUGAACAAGUAUGUAUGGAAACCAAGUCAUUCUAGUGAUGGGAAGAACAGUUCCUUCGACUGUACUGAAUCUUUAGAAUCCGUUCAUUAAAAGGAUUCGAUCAAAAGAUUUGUUCACUGAAUCAGUCAGUGCUUCGGAGCCCCGCGCUUCACAGCCGUGAGUUCGUUCAUUGAUCGAGACCCUCCCCUCUCCCCUGCUUCUGAAGUCACAGCGUCGUUCACUGGGUGACACAUGUCAUUUAUUUGCCAAGUCCUGAGGGAAGAAUCACUCCCCUGCCCUGAAAAACUCACAUCUUUGUGUAUCGCUGUCUGCGAAAACAACAGAGCAGCAAGCAGCACGCUCGCUAAACAAACAAGAGUCGUCGUUCUUUUAUAUCGCAGGAAAGUGGAGUGAUUAAAAUAAGUAAACAUCGAAGCUGUAGCUGGGAUUCUGCUACGCUUAAAGAUAUCAAAUAGCGUAUUGCUUUAAAUCGGCUGAAGUUAAAUAUUUCUUGCAGGAAAGUUUAUUCACGUGUAUUAAUAUAAAGGCACUAUAAUGCGCUGUUUUAUCUCAGUCUCAGUGAAUAAAGCGGUGUUCAGCAGUAAGUGAACGACACUACACCCCCUCCCUCCUCUGCCUGCAUCAAGUCAUUUGGAAGUAGUUCAUUUCAUUCACUGUGUCGUUCACUGACUGACUGAAUCAUUCCGUUCACUGACUGAUACAUAUCGUUCAUUCGCUGUGAGUGAAUCACGAGUCUCCGCCCGCUCGCUGACUGGCUGUGUGUCGUUCGCCAGAGUCAGAGUCGGCCGUGAAUGAAUCAGAUCUCUGAGUUAUUCAGUUCAUACCGUUCACUCAGCAGUUCUGUCCUUUUGAACGAAACGUUCAUGAACAACGCAACACUAAGUCAUUCAUGUUUGGUGAAAAAUACAGACUAAAAGACCCACUGUGAUGAAAGUUAUGUUUUUCUUGUUGUCUAUAGGUUCAUAUGAUACUUUUAUGUUGCUAGAAGACAUACAAUGAGAAAACUAAGUGCAAAAUUGCAUCUCUGAGUAUUUUUGUAUUCAAAUUGCUGUGAACCUCUAGCAGACCCAAAUGUCAGGUUCAGACGCUGUAGGAUUUUCUACAAACCUAUGCUCCACCCCCCCGGCUCCCCUCUCUGCUGGCCAGACCCCAAGAAGUAGAGAGGAUGAUGGCCGAAGAGGCGUGUGCAGUAGCGGACUGCAAUUCUUGUAAGAAAGCUAAUUAUGAUAUAGGCUUUGAUCAUAUCCCCAAAGACAUUCAUGUGAGAGCUGCUCCUUCAACUACACCGGCAAUCAGGGGACAAUCCUUUUGCACUGCAGACGCGGUUGUUCUUCUGCCUUAGCGUCUCGGUCUGAUUGCAUUUCCAUGAACUAAUAAUCAUAAAUGUUCUUCCUUGAGCUGCAAAACCCCGAUUCUCUCUUUCUCCUGAGUCUCACCCUCCUUCAGCACACUGUCAGAUAAAGUAAUAAAAAUACUUGUCUUGCUGUCUCAUAAGCGGAAAGCACAUGAGCCUGAAACAAAACCUCUUAAAUUGUAAUUAUAUCAUCAUCAUCAUCAUCAUCACCCUCUCUGCCUGGACCACAUUCUCUCCCGUGAGGCCCAACAGGACAGCAGUAUUUUCUAAUGGGCAAAGCUUUGCUUUCCCAGGUUGCUGGGUGUCUUUAAAUGCCCCUGCAGAUGAAUCAAUCAGAGGGAAGAAAAGAGCUCUUUUUCCUCAAAGUUCACUCCAGGACUCGGACCGUCAUGUUAAUGAUGUUUGUGUAUUUCUCUCCAGGCCCCAGCCUGACUCUGUAAAGGAAGCCACAGGUCAAAGGGAGAUGGAAAGGCAUUAGUGAAAGCGAGUGUGAAGACCGUCUCUGGAUCGCACUUAAUUUUAAUGGGAAACAAAUUACACAGACAGCUCGAAUGAAACGGAAAUGCCACAUAAAGCUGAACAUGACUUGGUUUGCUAACUUGUAAUUGGUUUUGGGGGAAUGUAAACAUGAAGUUUAUGAGUGAUUUCAUCUGUGUGUGUCCAAAUGUGUGAGGGUUUGUGUGCGGAAAGAAAUAUUUGUAGGAUCAGAGUCAAGUCCAGAUAUUAAUGUUCAAAUACUGCAAUAUUUAGUGGAAAUUAAACCAAGAGGGAACAGUGAUACACACCAUUAAAUCCUUCUGUGAUGCCCUGAGAGAACGCUUGGAAUAGGAAUUUGUUUUCCUCUGGGAGGUUUUUGCUUGGCUUGUUAUUUGUAGCAGGGAAUUAAAACUGUGCCUGUGAGGUUUGCCUCUCCCGUAAGACAUUAGGCAGACACAUGUUGUGGUUCUGAGGCAAUAAAAGAGAAGCAGGGGAGAGAAAAUGAAGCAAAAUCCCAAAUGUCUUGUGCAAAAUUGUUCCUUUUUAUAACUGAUGUGCAAAUAACUUUGAAUGCAACACUAUUUUUAAACUGUGUGCAGCAAUAGGUUGCACACCAGUGUCUAAAUAAGACAUUUGUAGACACAAAUAUGCACAGCACACCAUAAAUGCCCAGAGUGAAGUCUGUUACGUGCAGUUGCGCAUGUGUUUGUAUGUGGGCAGCUGUAUCUGGGUGCUCACAGUUUGACAAAUGGGGCCUGAAAUUAGGUGGUGAUAUAAAUAAAUGUCCUAUCGUUGCAGUUUAAUCCAGAGCACAUCUUACAGUCUGUAUGCUGAGUGGGCUGUUUAUUUGCUGCUUAACAAACAAUAAUGUACAGGUACAAGCCAGAUUGUUGGGUAAACAUAAACCAGGGUUACAAAUCUGAGUUUACAGAGUUUUAUCAUUGCUACAUUACAGUUAAACAAAUCUGAACCUCACUUCUCUGCACUCUGUGAAAAGAAGAAAAGCUGUCUUCAAAAGAAUUUCUGUACUCCACUAAUUUUGUUCCACUUUGGUGAGAGCCAUAUGUUAUCAACAGAAGGUGAGGGUGCUCGUGGGAAAUGCAGUCUUCAUUUGGAAUUCACCACAGAUUUGAUCCAAAGGGGUUAACAGAAUAAGCACAUCAUGGAUGAUCUUCACAACACUUUCAAAGGAAGAUUCUAGUUGGCCAGAUCAGCUUGGUUUGUUAUUCCACGAGGUGUUUACAACAUUUAGUUGUGAAUGAGACUAGCAGGACACUGCCAAAGGCAUCGGGAACUGUCAACCAGAAAAUUGGUGCUGUGGGAACCAACACAUGGGCAUCGGUCAAGAGGACGUCCUACACUAUCAUACUUGGACAUACUCAAGAAGGAUGCAGGAGCUCAGAGUACCAACGGACUGGUGAGAUGUAUGGAGAAUCGGGGUGACUGGAAGCGACGAUGGAAGGCUCGCCUGAGGACGACCCAGAGAGAGAGAGAGAGAGAGAGAGAGAGAGAGAGAGAGACAGCCACCAUUAACAACAAUAAGACAGGGUUGUCAAUGGAAACGCUGAUGGCACGCUCCAUUUUGCCCACUCGCAUUACACUUUCAACAUGGGAACAUUUAACUGCCAUAUGCAAAUCGAACAACAGUAACAAUGGCUGACACAUUAUUCAUUCAUUAUCAUGAGAAAACGAUCUUUGUUAUGUUGAGAUAAUGAGAUAAAUCAUUAUCACGAGAUAACAGUAAUAGAAAAAAAUCCAUGGCUGUUUUCGUUUUCUGCAUUUAUGUGAAAUAGAAGCCCCCUCUGUAUUUUUUCAGGGUCUUGCUUAUCCUGUUGGGAUUUCAAUCUGCAUAAUUAGCUGCUUACUCUGCAGUUUCCCCUCUAUAUUAACAAAAUGCUCACUUACAUGAAUGUUUCACAUGACAAGCAGGACAUUUUGAGCUGACAGGCUGAGUCUGUGAAGCUGAUGUGAGAGUUAAAGUGUGGCAGUAAAAUACUGUUAACUUAAAGUCUGAGUACAGCGGAUAUGUUUUUGGACAUUGACAUAUUUCUAAAGAAAUAAAACAGCAAGGUCGUGUUGCUAUUUUUCCAUCGACCACACCGUGUUCUGCACUCAGUCACCAAAAGCUCUUGUCGCUCUUACCACACGCUGAGUUAAUUGAUCUGGGAGUUGUUCUUCGUCACUGAGAACUCUGCAGGCUGGAGCCUGGUCUAUUUCUGUCGUUUUUCUAUGAUGUCCAACAAAAUAUUUUGAUGUUUAGAUUUUCCAGCUAUGCGUGAUUGAUUGCUCAACAGUCAACUGAGGGUAAAAAUGGACAUUGGUCCACACUUCCUCAGAAUAUGUAUACGAUAUAUGCAUAUAGACAGAGCUGCGGCUUUCCCCAACAUGUACCUUGCAGUUGCAUAUUGGGUUUCAUUGCACAGAUGCCCACUCGGGGAAACAGAUGGAGGUUUGUCAUACAAACUGAAAGAUCUACCAAAUGUUUGUUUGAGCUGC
rnacentral:lncRNA from 1 species